ACAUGUAUCGGUGCUUUGACUUAAACCCUUUCUCGGCCAAAUUCCGCCGCCGGUAAUCAUUUCCCACUCUCGCAGUAAGUGUUCCUCCUCUCCACUCCGCUGCGGCUGCGGCUGUUGGAUGGAUGUAGGACCUCCGGUGUGGCAGUUUCCGGCUGGCGGGUGACUGAUGGCCUGAAAACUCCUCCCUUCCUUUCUCUAUUUGGACUCUGCUUUUAUACAACACUUUCCACGGCUUCUUAGUUUGGAGCCAAUUUCUGUCGUUCUACACUUGGAAACCCAAACACAGUUGGUUGAUUACUAGCCGGUGGUAUACCAUAUUAGGGAUUGCUUAGUGCGGUAGCAGAUGCCCAAAUUAAUGGAAAUGUGAUUUACCAAUGAGUUUCAAAUAUUCUGAUAGGUUGCUUUGCUUAUAGUGGUCACCUUUAAUGGUUGUGUUCCGAUUUACUUUCUCCGAACAGGGUAGUCAUGGACUUUCCUGCUCUAGCAAUCAAACUAGGAUUAUAUGACUCUGAUAGUUGCUUUUACUUAUAGUGGUCACCUUUAAUGGCGAUUGCAGGAAAGUAGAUAUUCUGAUAGUUUUCUUUUCUCGGUCAAAUUCUUCUGCCGGAAUCCUCCGGGCAGCCAUAGUGCUCCUCGGUAGUGACCAUGACCAAUGGUUUUAUUGCAAUGUUCAUUACCAUUGAAAUGUUAAUUUGGCUUCCUUCAUAUGAUUUUAGUUCUGCUUCUUGAUAUAUUUUUUUAUCAUCGAGUCUUCACAAAUAACAUUAUUCUUAGACCUUUGAUUUGAUAACUAAAUCCUUGAAUGUCUGAUUUGUAUUCUUCAUUCUAACUGCUGUGUCAUUUGUAUUUGCUUAUAUUCUUUAUUUCUUGGACUGGUUUUAAAGUGUGAAGUCUUCCGUUGUCAAUUUCCUCGAUCCAAUCCCUUCUACUCUGAUGAACCACCAAGACAUUAUGGCACUGACAAACCAUUGAGUGUUGGAGAUACUGUCGAGAUCUGAUGGCAAAACCACUGUGGCCUUUGCCUUUGUCGAUUGGUUACCCCACCAUAGCCAAUAUUAAAAAAUGCAACUACUGCAAUGGUCCUUUAUGCUAUGAAUUUCAGAUCAUGCCUCAGUUACUUUAUUACUUCGGUGUUAGAAAUGAUCCCGACUCUCUUGAUUGGGGAACCAUUGCUGUGUAUUCGUGUUUAGCCUCAUGCGAAUCAAAGAGGAAUUCACAUGGGUUCAGUAAUAUCCUAGCACACCAAUGACUUGAGGGUGCUCCGACAUAUAUACCCUCUAUGAUUAGAAUUCCAGCAAUCGCCUUCCAAUUUAUUGCACCCGUCACCGAACCUGAAAGCUCAAACUACUGCCGGCCGCCGGCACCCGACGUCGACGCCACCGGCUCCGCCACACCCUCCUUGGGGCUGCAUAACCCCACCGCGUGCCGCGCCCAAAACCCGCCCGCCGCCCUCGCCCUGGCCGCCCGCCUCCUCUCCUCCUCUGCCGCCGCAGCAGCUGCCGUCUCGCUCCGCUUCUCCUGACGGCUCCCGACGAUGAGGCGGUCCAACUCCCUCCUGAUCCACUCGAUCUCGUAGGCGUCGAGCAGUGGUAUGGCAGGCCUAGGCUCGGCCGUCGAGCUCUCACCAGCAGCAGCGCGGUCGUCUAGCAGGCGGCGAGACGGCCGCCAGGCCGCUUGUGCCUCGCCGCAGCCGGUGCGGUGAUGGCACCGCGCCCGAUCUGCCGCCUUCGCCAGUGGCAGCAGCUCCGGUGCAGGAGCCACCGACGAAGAAGACACUGCGCUUGUCCUUCGCGUCCCUCGUUCCAUGUAACCAAAGCUUCACAGAGAGAGAGAGAGGUCUUAAGGUACGAAGAGAAGGAUAGCUUUCGCUGGAUCUUUGUUAGUUUUGCGUGCACCAAAAAGAAGAAGAUGAAGUGUGUGCCGUGGGUCAAAAGAAAGACUUGCAUAUUUAUUUGAGCCCUAUCGCCUUUCUCUUUCCAUGUGCUUAUUGUUUUCUUUAAGAAGUUUCCUCUACAGUUGACUUUGA